GCUGGGCGCGGUGGCUCACACCUGUAAUCCCAACACUUUGGGAGGCCGAGGUGGGUGGAUCACCUGAGGUCAGGAGUUCUAGACCAGCCUGGCCAACAUGGUGAAACCCCAUCUCUA
rfam:Nomascus leucogenys chromosome 2, whole genome shotgun sequence.